rnacentral:lncRNA from 1 species
UUCACCCUUGUAGAUGGAUCAGAAGCCAUACACAUUAACCAGUAGGCGUUAAAGCCAUUAAAAUACAACGGCUUUCCAUUAACCAUGAAAUGAUGUGUCCUUGUCUCCACAAAACUAUCGUUAAUGGUUGACGGGUGGCAUUUACCCUUGCAAUCUCCUUUUAGAACUGCAGUUCCUUUUCCUGGCAUGGUUAAAAAAUCGCUAAUCUUUAAUAGUGGAUAUAUGAAAUAGGAAAGUUAGUAACCAAUGUUUAGAGUAAUGGUUGGAAAGUAGUGUGUUUUCUCUUGUCCGCUUAGCUCGUCGAGAAUUUAUAUCGCAUGUCUUGUUACCAAUCUAGUUGGAAGUGGGGACAUCAUCAUAUUUAUUAUAUAACUUAACGAUACAUAUGCAUCAUCAUUCAUAAGGAAUGACAAGCGACUUUGCGAUGCCCAUGCACGGUGCCAUACUUUUGGUUGUAAGACACACAAACAUUUGUUACUCCAAAUGAAAAAGCAAAAGGAAAAAUGAUACUGCUUUUUCAAAUACUGUUGCAGGUAUGUUAUGUUUGGAUACUAGAUCCUUGUGCAUAAUAUGCCAUUAAAAGAUUAGCUUUUAGUCGAGUUCCAAACAUAAAAAAUAUGUUGACCAAACGAAUUGUAUUUAGAGAUUCGAAGAUGGUACUAGAUUCUUUUCAAAUACUAUAAUAUUUUGUUACUCCAUACAUUAGAGACCACAUGUGCUUGAAAAAUAAAUAUAUAAAAAUAAAAAACAAAAAGCCCAAAAUAAACGCACAAGUGGUUGCUUGUGCAUGAAAAACUAGGUACAUUUUGAUUAUUUAUUUAUUUAUUUCUCCACUCCUCCAAACCAUUUUGUUGUUUUUUCGGGUUCCUUUUUUCAUACGUUGAAAUCUAGAAUGCGACUUUCUUACGUUUAUGCAUCACCAUUCAUGGGACAUUUGGUUUCCUUAUUUGACUUUUUAACGUCAUAUAGCAAAUAUAUAUUAAAUUUUAUGUUCAGUUUUCCUGUUGAUAGUUUUUAUCACGUGUAUUCUCCAAAUGGAAUUUGUAUCAAAGUAGAUGUUAUGUAUGUUGCACACAUCACUUUUGCAUGUGAAUUUAUAUUGAUGAUGUCAUGUUUUGUUUUCAUGUAGUUAAUGUAAUAACAAGUGGUUGAGUAGCAUGACAUAUAGCAAGUGGAUGUAUUGUAAUCUAAACAUAACUCGCUUUGCUUGUGUACGAGGUGUUCUCUGUUAUAAUAAAACAACGGAUGUUUGGGGUUCCAAAACCUAUCAUAAUAGGCAAUGUAACUGCUUAGAAGGAAAUUCGAUAGAUCUUAAACCAAUACUUUUAGAAGACUAGUGAGGAAACACUCCCUUAUCAUUUUUUAUGUGUUUGUGCAUCGAUACUAAGUAGUGUAUGAUUAUCCAUUAAUUAAAGUUUAUUCAGACUACACUUGUACACAUUACAUAUAUUAUAAAUCUUUGGUGAUAAAUGCUAGAUGUUUAUAAAAAUGACCCUCACCUUAUAUUAAUUAAUUUAAUCGAUAUUAUUGUUAAUUAUAAAGAAAAUUAUGAAAAUUAUAAAUAUAAAAUUAAACAAACAAUUGUUAGGUUUAAGACUGCAUGCCUAAGAUAAACAUUGCACCAGAAUGUCUACCCAAUAUUGAUAAAGUAUAUUUGAAAGGUAUGACUAAAAAGUUUACAGUCGCUUGAGGGCCUAAGGCUUACAAUGCACCAAAAUUUAUUCCCAAUAUUGACCAAGGAUAUUUCAAAGGUACGACUAAACCGUAAGUUUAUAGUUGCGGAUAUAACAUUGCGAUCGAAAAUAAAGCAGGAAUUUUUGAACUCCAAUUAAUUUGAGUUCCCUAUUAUAUAAUCUUGUAGACAAAUGAGAAAUAAUCAGUUUAGUUCUUCUACAAGUCCAGUUGUAUUAAUCAAUGAUUUUACUUAUUAUAUUGAGAUAACAUCCUCAUAAUUGGAAAGGUUUCAUGAAAAAUCAUCAUCACAAUUCUGAGUUUGCUGACAUAAAUAUUCAUAUUAUAGAUUACAAUAAAAGUAACAUUCCUGCCAAGACCCUAAUAUAUGUGUAUUAAUAAUGAUUUAUGUAUUUGUUUAAAAAAAUUGGAUUUUAGAUUACCAAGAAAUAACAUUUGCGCCAAGACACCAAUAUAUGUGUUAAUUACUCCUUAAGACUAUAUUUUCUUCACCGGCAUACGUAACUUAAUCAUUUAUCUUCUUUAUUAGGAGUUUGAUGUCAAAAAUAACUUAAAUAGUUUUGAAUUGAUCUUCUUUUGUUUGUUAAAACUUAGGUAAUAUUGUUUAAAACAUGAAUUAGUAUUCUACAAAUUAUAUUGAAAUAGGUUUCGUGGCAUAUUAACAAGAUGUUUUUUUUUUUUUGGUUUAAAUCACUUGGAAAAAGUCAUCCAAUAGCUUUGUACAUCCCCCCUGUCUCUCACACACAGACACACACAUACACAUACACACACACACACAUUUCGGACGGUAUUAAGUAAUGGUUUGUUUAAGUAUCACAACUCCCACAAACAUAAUUUUAAUUCAAAAUCAAGAUCUAAAGGCAUAAUAAUUAUUGGUAUAUCAUGACUUAUAUCCAUUGUCAAGCAAUAUUAAUAGGAUAAGUAUGCAUUUCAUGCAGAAAAGUCUAAUUAUAUUGAGAUUUUUUUUGAUAAAGUCGUAAAUCUUUUUUUAAUAGAAUAAACCUGAUUGUUUAACAUUUUACCCAAAUUAAGGAAAAAGUUUUUUUUAAUUGGGAAAGACAGAUUAUAUGAUUUUCCCAAAAUAACGAGACUUUUUUGUUAAAAAAAAAAGAUUUAUGAAUUUAUCAAAAAAAAAAAAAUCCAAAAUAAUGANUGAAUUUAUCAAAAAAAAAUUCCAAAAUAAUGAGACUUUUUAGUAUAAAACUCGGGAAAAUAUUUGUUCAUUUAAGUAUCACCACCCCAAAGGCACAAGUGUAAUACAAAAUUUAGGUAAAAAAUCUUGAGAUUUAAUGAUAUAUCAUGACCUAUAUCCCUUAUCAACUAAUAUUAAUAUUCCUCUCGUCGAUGAUUUGCGAUCAAAAAGUGGUUUGAAUACAUAUAAAAGGAUUCACAUAUGUUGACGUGACUUGUGUGUUUGAUAGACAAAGUAUUUAUAACAUUAAGAAAAGAUAGACAAAAGGUAAGAAAACACAUAAAAAUACCUUACAUAUAUUACCAUAUUUAUUGAUAAAAAGGAAAUGCAUCAAUUUUCCCACUUCGUCCAACAAUACUGAGUUGAAGUUACCCACGGUACAACAUUACUAAUAGGUUGUUUCAUGCAAAAUGGUUGCUACCUGUAUCUUUAUUUUCAUUUCACUAUUUAAACUUCACAUUUUCUAAAGGUAAGUAACGCAGCAGAGAGAAAUAUCAUUUUAUCUCGAAAGGGAUAAUUAUUUGUUCAGGAACCCAACAUAGUUAUUUUUCAACAGCAACGGGAGAGAACUCUAGGUUGGUUGAAGAGUUGAGUGAUGAAAUUCUUUGAGACUGCUUGGCAAUUAUUGCAGCAGUGGAGGGGUUUUGGUCCAAGACAACUUGGUACCCAUCACCCCAGUUAUCCAUUCCUUCCGCCAUGACUUGCCAAAAAGUUGUACCUGAACACGACCCCCGGUUUCUUGCACUUUCAUAGGCCGUGUUGAAUAUCCCACCAAAGUACUCAUCCCUUGCUUCUACGGUGUAACCUGAAGACCAAGAGGACUUGCCAAAUUCUGCAAUCAGUAAAGGUUUUCUCAAGAUGGAAUCACAAUCCUCAAUAUGUGCAUUAAUCCAUUUUUCAACAAAUUUAGCUCGAGCUUCAUCGCUAGCUCCCGGAACCCUAAGUCAAAAAUCGAAAUACCCACAUAUGUUAUUCAAUAAAAUUAAAUAACAUAAAAUAUUGUUUUAGUUAUAAAUAAGAAACAUGCAUUUCAUGAAACAUUUUUAGGAUGCUAACUACGUUCGGGUGUUGGCUAGCGUGACAUGCAAAGUAUAUAUACGAACAAAAGCAUUGUGAUGGAGUUUAUAUGUCGGUAUAGACUCGAUCAUACCAUUGGUCGGGAUACAGAUGGAUUGUAGCAAAAUCCACAUUGUUGACGCCGUUGUUUGUAAUGAAGUCGGUCCCUACUUCAUAGCCCGGAUUGUUUUGCUUCUUUUCAGGCAUUGAUUCCCCAUAAAACCCUUCAAGUCCGAUUUCGAGAAGAUGGUUCUUAUCAAUGGACUUUAUUUCAGCUGCCAUUUCUACUAUCCAUUCCUGCACAAAGAAGAGAUACCGAUGGUUAUAGGUUAUGCACCAUAUAGUUUCAUAAAAAACCGGUUUCCUCUAUGUACUCCUAUCAUUUGAAAGUAAAAGAUUUCCUUCUUUCUAGAUAACUGAUUCGGGCAUUUUCUCAUAUGAACAACUUAACCGUGAGAAAACAGAGAAAACAAGAACCUGUAGAAAUUUCCCUGAUAGAUCAGACUGGCAGCGAGGUUCGUUCAUUAGCUCCCAUGCAAAGAUGGUGAAAUCAUCCUUGUAGUCAACCCCGGUGAUUGAGUUGCGUCUCGUAAGAAUGGUCUGUAGCAAAACAGUAUUUGCAACAUGUUCAAAUUUUCUGACAAAAUGCACAUACAGCUGUUGUAGAAAAUUUUUGUGAUAUAAUGGAAACAUUGUUUCCCAAACAUAUAUAUAUAUAUAUUCAAAUGAUUCUUAUAAUAUCCUUUAACUACAACGUUAGUAAAGAAAUCAUCAUCACUAUUCAAGUAUUGUCCUCCAUGAUCCCUUGCCCACUGAACAUAUUGUUUUUUACCUCCAAAAUCAUCCCAGUUAUUAACCAAGCUGAGAAUCAAGUGAAUCCCAUACUUUUUCGCUUCUGAUAUCACAAAAUCCAAUCCCUGGAAUGAAAAGGUGUAGAUGGUUAUCACAAGUAACAUAAAACAGAGGUGUUAAAGUGUUUGUGAUCUUGAUUAUUACUAACUUUUAUUUCAAUAUGUCCGUGUCGAUUUGUCGUAUGGUUGAUAAGAAAUUACUUUUUAACGUUUACAGAUCAUGUUGAAUAAAAAAUAGAGGCUAAAAUAAUAGAUAAAGUUACCUUAAACAUGUCCUCAUUGUAAAAACCGGGAGAGGUUUGCAGGGGUUUGUUGCCACCAUCACUAAAAGCCCAAGUCCUAACCAGGUUCAUUCCUAUCUUGGAAGAUUCUUGAAAUGCAUCUGUGACCUUUGUUAGUCAAUGUUGACCAUGUAAUCUGGAGAAUAAAAGGGACGCGUGGGAGUGUUGCCAAGUAAAAGAACGUUGCUGAUUUAUCUGCUUUCAGUUUUAUUUUAGUGUAUUUUAAAGUUCAGUUGUUAGCUAUUUUGAAUGAAACUUUUCCAGCUUUCAAUCAUUCAAUAAACAAGCAUUUGGCUACUCUGUCUCCCUUCUUUUCUUCUCGUUUUGAUUUGCUAAUUUGCCAACAAUUGGUAUCAGAGCUUCAAGGUUCUGAUUAAGGUGUAUGCCAAAGUAUAUCAGAUACACUACCAUGACAGGAUCAUCAUCAUCCAAUCCACCCAAAGACAAUCCGUUCCCUUUUCAAUGCCCAAUGCUAACCUCGCAGAAUUAUAAUACCUGGUCAAUUAAGAUGGAAGCCAUCAUGGAUGCCCAUGGAUUGUGGGAUGCCAUUGAGCCACCAACCGGAGUGGAGGUGGACGAUAAAAGGAGCAAGCAGGCUCGAGCCUUCAUCUUCCAAUCAAUUCCAGAAGAGAUGCUUGCACAGGCUGCCAAGAAGAAGACAGCUAGAGAAGUGUGGGACUCUCUAAAGUCACGGUAUGUGGGUGCAGAAAGAGUCCAGAAAGCAAGGCUAAGGGUAUUGAAAAGCGAGUUUGAAGGUCUCCAAAUGAAGGAUACGGAAACCAUUGAUGAUUAUGCAGGAAGAAUAUCAGCCAUGAUCUCAAAAUACAGCAGUGCAGGAGCAACAUUAGAUGAUGAAGAACUGGUGAGAAAAUUGUUUGAUACGGUCCCUGAAAGGUUCAUAAACCUGGUGGCAUCGAUUGAACAAAGCUCAGACAUGGAAUCCAUGCCAUUUGAAGAGGCGAUUGGGCAUCUAAAGGCAUAUGAAGAUCGACUUCGACUCCGGAAGACAAGCACACAAGCAGAUAAUGCCUUGUUACUUGCCAAAACGGAAGGCUCUUCUACUCAUCGAAGUCCAAGAAAGUCAAACACGACAGGUGGUCGUGGAAGAGGAAGAAAUAGUGACAGGGGAGGAAGAGGCAAUUCACGUGGUCGCGGUUCGACGCGUGGCAGAGGUGGACGCUGGGGUGGUGGUUCACGACAAGAAGCUGGGAAUUUCAACCGGAAGCCUCGUGACAAAAGUCAUAUACAAUGCUUUGAGUGCCAAGAAUUUGGCCAUUUUGCUUCUGAGUGCAAAGCAAAGAAGCAACAGGAACAAGAGGCGAAUUUAGUUGAAGACGAAGAUGGACCUGCACUCCUGUUAACCAUACAUGGGGAAGAAACUACAAGCAUGGUUCUUUUAAAUGAGGAAAAGGUGUACCCGAACCAACUAAGUGACAGCAAUGAUAAUGAUAUGUGGUAUCUGGAUAAUGGGGCUAGUAACCACAUGACUGGUUCUAAGGCCUUAUUUGCAGAGCUUGAUGAAAAGGUGACCGGACAGGUACGAUUUGGAGAUGGUUCUAAGGUUCAAAUAAAAGGGAAAGGCACAUUACUGUUUGAUUGUAAAANAAACAUAACUCGCUUUGCUUGUGUACGAGGUGUUCUCUGUUAUAAUAAAACAACGGAUGUUUGGGUUUCCAAAACCUAUCAUAAUAUGCAAUGUAACUGCUUAGAAGGAAAUUCGAUAGAUCUUAAACCUAUACUUUUAGAAGACUAGCGAGGAAACACUCCCUUAUCAUUUAUGUGUUCGUGCAUCGAUACUAAGUAGAGUAUGAUUACUCAUUAAUUAAAGUUUAUUGAGACUACACUUGUACACAUUACAUAUAUUAUAAAUCUUUGGUGAUAAAUGCUAGAUGUUUAUAAAAAUGACCCUCACCUUAUAUUAAUUAAUUUAAUCGAUAUUAUUGUUAAUUAUAAAGAAAAUUAUGAAAAUUAUAAAUAUAAAAUUAAACAAACAAUUGUUAGGUUUAAGACUGCAUGCCUAAGAUAAACAUUGCACCAGAAUGUCUACCCAAUAUUGAUAAAGUAUAUUUGAAAGGUAUGACUAAAAAGUUUACAGUCGCUUGAGGGCCUAAGGCUUACAAUGCACCAAAAUUUAUUCCCAAUAUUGAUAAAGGAUAUUUCAAAGGUACGACUAAACCUUAAGUUUAUAGUUGCUGAUAUAACCUUGCGAUCGAAAAUAAAGCAGGAAUUUUUGAACUCCAAUUAAUUUGAGUUCCCCAUUAUAUAUUCUUGUAGACAAAUGAGAAAUAAUCAGUUUAGUUCUUCUACGAGCCCAGUUGUAUUAAUCAAUGAUUUUACUUAUUAUAUUGAGAUAACAACCUCAUAAUUGGAAAGGUUUCAUGAAAAAUCAUCAUCACAAUUCUGAGUUUGCUGACAUAAAUAUUCAUAUUAUAGAUUACAAUAAAAGUAACAUUUCUGCCAAGACCCUAAUAUAUGUGUAUUAAUAAUGAUUUAUGUAUUUGUUUAAAAAAAUUGGAUUUUAGAUUACCAAGAAAUAACAUUUGCGCCAAGACACCAAUAUAUGUGUUAAUUACUCCUUAAGACUAUAUUUUCUUCACCGGCAUACGUAACUUAAUCAUUUAUCUUCUUUAUUAGGAGUUUGAUGUCAAAAAUAACUUAAAUAGUUUUGAAUUGAUCUUCUUUUGUUUGUUAAAACUUAGGUAAUAUUGUUUAAAAUAUGAAUUAGUAUUCUACAAAUUAUAUUGAAAUAGGUUUAGUGGCAUAUUAACAAGAUGUUUUUUUUUUUUUUUUUUUAAAUCACUUGGAAAAAGUCAUCCAAUAGCUUUGUAGAUUCCCCCCUGUCUCCUCUCACACACAGACACACACAUACACAUACACACACACAUUUCGGUCGGUAUUAAGUAAUGGUUUGUUUAAGUAUCACAACUCCCACAAACAUAAUUUUAAUUCAAAAUAAAGAUCUAAAGGCAUAAUAAUCAUUGGUAUAUCAUGACUUAUAUCCUUUGUCAAGCAAUAUUAAUAGGAUAAGUAUGCAUUUCAUGCAGAAAAGUCUAAUUAUUUUGAGAUUUUUUUUGAUAAAGUCCUAAAUCUUUUUUUUAAUAGAAUAAACCUGAUUGUUUAAUAUUUUGCCCAAAUUAAGGAAAAAGUUUUUUUAAUUGGGAAAGACAGAUUAUAUGAUUUUCCCAAAAUAACGAGACUUUUUUGUUCAAAAAAAUAAAGAUUUAUGAAUUUAUCAAAAAAUAAUUCCAAAAUAAUGAGACUUUUUAGUAUAAAGCUCGGGAAAAUAUUUGUUCAUUUAAGUAUCACCACCCCAAAGGCACAAGUGUAAUACAAAAUUUAGGUCAAAAAUCUUGAGAUUUAAUGAUAUAUCAUGGCUUAUAUCCCUUAUCAACUAAUAUUAAUAUUCCUCUCGUCGAUGAUUUGCGAUCAAAAACUGGUUUGAAUACAUAUAAAAGGAUUCCCAUAUGUAGACGUGAUUGUGUGUUUGAUAAACAAAGUAUUUAUAACAUUAAGAAAAGAUAGACAAAAGCUAAGAAAACACAUAAAAAUAUCUUACAUAUAUUACCAUAUUUAUUGAUCAAAAAGUGGUUUGAAUACAUAUAAAAGACGUGACUCUAAAAGCUCUGUCUUCUCAAAACGUGUUGGCGUACCUUUCUACCGGUUCCCUGAGAAUACAAGUGGUUUUGAAAAUGUGUCAACAUUUAAUUUGGUGAGUUCAUCAGUAUAUUUUUUAGAUGGA